UGAACGCUGGCGGCAGGCCUAACACAUGCAAGUCGAGCGGUAGAGAGAAGCUUGCUUCUCUUGAGAGCGGCGGACGGGUGAGUAAUGCCUAGGAAUCUGCCUGGUAGUGGGGGAUAACGCUCGGAAACGGACGCUAAUACCGCAUACGUCCUACGGGAGAAAGCAGGGGACCUUCGGGCCUUGCGCUAUCAGAUGAGCCUAGGUCGGAUUAGCUAGUUGGUGAGGUAAUGGCUCACCAAGGCGACGAUCCGUAACUGGUCUGAGAGGAUGAUCAGUCACACUGGAACUGAGACACGGUCCAGACUCCUACGGGAGGCAGCAGUGGGGAAUAUUGGACAAUGGGCGAAAGCCUGAUCCAGCCAUGCCGCGUGUGUGAAGAAGGUCUUCGGAUUGUAAAGCACUUUAAGUUGGGAGGAAGGGCAUUAACCUAAUACGUUGGUGUUUUGACGUUACCGACAGAAUAAGCACCGGCUAACUCUGUGCCAGCAGCCGCGGUAAUACAGAGGGUGCAAGCGUUAAUCGGAAUUACUGGGCGUAAAGCGCGCGUAGGUGGUUUGUUAAGUUGAAUGUGAAAUCCCCGGGCUCAACCUGGGAACUGCAUCCAAAACUGGCAAGCUAGAGUAGGGCAGAGGGUGGUGGAAUUUCCUGUGUAGCGGUGAAAUGCGUAGAUAUAGGAAGGAACACCAGUGGCGAAGGCGACCACCUGGGCUCAUACUGACACUGAGGUGCGAAAGCGUGGGGAGCAAACAGGAUUAGAUACCCUGGUAGUCCACGCCGUAAACGAUGUCAACUAGCCGUUGGAAUCCUUGAGAUUUUAGUGGCGCAGCUAACGCAUUAAGUUGACCGCCUGGGGAGUACGGCCGCAAGGUUAAAACUCAAAUGAAUUGACGG
rnacentral:rRNA from 1 species